rnacentral:rRNA from 1 species
GAUGAACGCUGGCGGCGUGCCUAAUACAUGCAAGUCGAGCGAACAGACGAGGAGCUUGCUCCUCUGACGUUAGCGGCGGACGGGUGAGUAACACGUGGAUACCCUACCUAUAAGACUGGUAUAACUUCGGGAAACCGGAGCUAAUACCGGAUAAUAUAUUGAACCGCAUGGUUCAAUAGUGAAAGACGGUUUUGCUGUCACUUAUAGAUGGAUCCGCGCCGCAUUAGCUAGUUGGUAAGGUAACGGCUUACCAAGGCAACGAUGCGUAGCCGACCUGAGAGGGUGAUCGGCCACACUGGAACUGAGACACGGUCCAGACUCCUACGGGAGGCAGCAGUAGGGAAUCUUCCGCAAGGGGCGAAAGCCUGACGGAGCAACGCCGCGUGAGUGAUGAAGGUCUUCGGAUCGUAAAACUCUGUUAUUAGGGAAGAACAAAUGUGUAAGUAACUAUGCACGUCUUGACGGUACCUAAUCAGAAAGCCACGGCUAACUACGUG